UUUUGUAGGUAUUGGGGGGUCGUGAAGACUCUAUCAGUUAGUAUCUGUUCUCGAAAGGGCUUUGAUUAAUAUUGAAUAAUCAGACAUAGUACGCUAAGGUUGUAUGUCUAAAGGGAAACAGCCCAGAAUGAGUGUUAAUAAGGUUCCAAAAUUAUUGUUAAGUGAAACAAAGGUAGUUUAUGUCUUAAACAUCCAGGAAAUAGGCUUAGAGGCGGCCAUUUUUUAAAGACCUCGUAACAGAGCACUGGUUCAUUCUUAUUUAUAUGUCUAAAUAAGAUCGACAAAAGCACCGACGAUUCUACGGAUCUAAAUAAUAUACCGAAACCUCGUCCAUGCAUAUUAUACACAUAAUAUGUUUAUUAUAUCCCUGCGGAUAGGGAAAAUAAAUAAACUAAAAAGAUGAUUGAAGCACUUUAAUCUGUAGAGAUGCAAAAUCACACUUGUAUGUUGUAUAUUAUAUGUGGGGUAGCGGAACAUUGGGCAAACCAUACUUUUUUUUUAUAAAAAUUUUUAGGUACCCCAAGUGAUAAUGCUGACAUGAGUAACGAUAAAGGGAUAAAUCCCUCGCCUAAAGCUUAUGGAAUUUAAUUAAAGUAACGGCCUCUAAGUUUAUAAAUAAAAAAGUAGAAUAUUCUGUUUUAAAGUAUUCCAUUUAUCCUAAGGGAUUAAACGAUGAGCAAAACUAUAAAGAUACAAAUAAAUAACAUUUAUAGACAGUUAUAGAGAAAAACUUGCAAUAACUGUGUUAAAGUGAUAAAUGUUCUGGAAAAUAGUAUCUAAUAUAAAGUUUAUAUUUAUGAGUAGUUUAAAGAAAAUAUAUAGAUUUAAAAUAUACCGUACCUAAAUACUACCACAAGUAAGCAAGUAGAG
rnacentral:rRNA from 1 species